GGACUCUAAAGCUUUCCCGCAUAAAAUACACCUAGAACAUAACUGGAAGCCAAGCUUUCUUGAGUAAGGCAAACUUCUCUAGCAAGCAACCAGCCAUGGAAAGCUCACAACCUUGGUAGGAACUUUAGCCUUCCAAAUGCACUUCCAUGGGCAAUUCACAAUGGGUUGGCUUGUCCGUGAAAGGUUAAGAUAAGCAGAAUUAACAGUAUAAAUCCCAUUAUUGUUUCUAUUCCAGUAAAGAGAAUCUUCUUCCUCCUUGAGACCUAUGAAAGCAAGUAGGAAAAAGAUCAUUGAUUCUCCACAGAUCCCUAUCAUUCAACCCUCUCCUGAAGAUGAAAUUCCAGUCAUUCAGUCCCCAAG
rnacentral:misc_RNA from 1 species